rnacentral:rRNA from 1 species
CUUUCUUUGCUGGCGACCGGCGCACGGGUGAGUAACACGUAUCCAACCUGCCCUUUACUCGGGGAUAGCCUUUCGAAAGAAAGAUUAAUACCCGAUAGUAUAAUGAUUCCGCAUGGUUUCAUUAUUAAAGGAUUCCGGUAAAGGAUGGGGAUGCGUUCCAUUAGGUUGUUGGUGAGGUAACGGCUCACCAAGCCUUCGAUGGAUAGGGGUUCUGAGAGGAAGGUCCCCCACAUUGGAACUGAGACACAGUCCAA